UACGGAGGGUGCAAGCGUUAUCCGGAUUUACUGGGUUUAAAGGGUGUGUAGGCGGGCAUUUAAGUCUGGGGUGAAAUCUCCGAGCUCAACUCGGAAACUGCCUUGGAUACUAUUUGUCUUGAAUUAUGUUGAGGUAGGCGGAAUAUAACAUGUAGCGGUGAAAUGCAUAGAUAUGACACAGAACACCGAUUGCGAAGGCAGCUGACGAAACUGUAACUGACGCUGAGGCACGAAAGCGUGGGGAUCAAACAGG
rnacentral:rRNA from 1 species